UACAGAGGGGGCAAGCGUUAUUCGGAAUUACUGGGCGUAAAGCGUGCGCAGGCGGUUUUAUAAGACAGAUGUGAAAUCCCCGGGCUCAACCUGGGAACUGCAUUUGUGACUGUAGAGCUGGAGUGCGGCAGAGGGGGAUGGAAUUCCGCGUGUAGCAGUGAAAUGCGUAGAUAUGCGGAGGAACACCGAUGGCGAAGGCAAUCCCCUGGGCCUGCACUGACGCUCAUGCACGAAAGCGUGGGGAGCAAACAGG
rnacentral:rRNA from 1 species